rnacentral:rRNA from 1 species
UACGUAGGGUGCAAGCGUUUGUCCGGAAUCAUUGGGCGUAAAGCGCGCGUAGGUGGCUUCGUAAGUCCGUUGUGAAAGUCAAAGGCUCAACCUUUGAAUGCUGAUGGAUACUGCGAAGCUAGAGUACGGAAGAGGCGAGUGGAAUUCCUGGUGUAGCGGUGGAAUGCGCAGAUAUCAGGAGGAACACCAAUAGCGAAGGCAGCUCGCUGGGACGUUACUGACACUAAGGCGCGAAAAGCGUGGGGAGCGAACAGG